UAUCUCUGUAGAGUCUGCAUAUCAAUAAGCGGAGGAAAAGAAACUAACUAGGAUUCCCUUAGUAACGGCGAGUGAAGCGGGAAGAGCUCAAAUUUGAAAUCUUCAAGGUUUUACCUUGACGAAUUGUAGUUUAAAGAAGUGUUUUCUGUUGAAUUUUCGGUAAAAGUUCUUUGGAAUAAGGACAUCAAUAGAGGGUGAGAAUCCCGUAUUUGACCAUUACUUUCCAGCUGUGUGAUACACUUUCAAAGAGUCGGAUUGUUUAGGAAUGCAGUCCAAAAUGGGUGGUAAAUUUCAUCUAAAGCUAAAUAUUGGCGAGAGACCGAUAGCGAACAAGUACCGUGAGGGAAAGAUGAAAAGAACUUUGAAAAGAGAGUUAAACAGUACGUGAAAUUGUCAAAAGGGAAGCGUUUGACACCAGUGUUGUUUUCUCGAAAAUCAAUUAAAAAUGGCAGGAUUUUGUGUUGUAUUGACUUUAUCAGCUUUCUGCACUUUUUUCUUGUCUUUUUUAAUGCACUUUUCGUUUAACAAGUCAACAUCAAUUUCUUUUGUUGUAAAAGGGUCAUUGGAAGGUGGCUUUCUUUUCGGAGAAAGUGUUUAUAGCCUUUGACUUCUGCAAUCGGAGAGAUUGAGGUCUGCAGCGUAGAUCCUUCGGGGUUAGAUGCAUUUGUGCUAAGUUAUAGCCUUUCAUAGACAACUUGUUGACUAUGAUCAGUCAUGUAGCCUACUCGCUUAUGUUAUUUUACCUACGCUUAGGAUGUUGAUCUCUCACAGUCGAGC
rnacentral:rRNA from 1 species